GAUGCAAGGUUCAACAAUUUCAGGGCUUUUAGCUGGCAUAGCUGCAAGGGAAUAAGCCCUUCUAAUGCAUUUGAAUUUAAGACAAGAAUCCUGAGGUCCAACAAAUUUUCUCCAAUCCAUUCUGGUAUAGCUCCUGAUAACUUGUUUAGCCCCAGAUCAAUAACUAACAAGCUUGUGCAACUCUUCAACGAUGGUGGAAUUUCUCCAUAAAGACCAUUAUUCUCAAAUAUCAG
rnacentral:misc_RNA from 1 species